rnacentral:ncRNA from 1 species
CCCUACUGAUGAAGCGUUGUUGCCACAGUAAUCCUGCUCAGUACGAGAGGAACCGCAGAUUCAGACAUUUGGUUCAUGUGCUUGGCUGAUAAGCCAAUGGUGCGAAGCUACCAUCUGAGGGAUUAUGACUGAACGCCUCUAAGUCAGAAUCCCGCCUGGAAAGCGACGAUGCAUUCGUGCCUCGGCCUCGAGAGGCGUAGCUAGACGGCCGUGUGGCCGUGGAAAGAGCCCGAUUCCGACCCGAGAGGCCGCGGCAAGAGGCGGCCUCGAAGUCGGUGGAUCCUCCUGCUCGAAAGGCGGGGUGCUAAACCAUUCGCAGACGACCUAGUUGAAGAUCGGGGUGUCGUGAUCACUAGAGCAGUACAUCUCACUGCGAUUUGUUGAGAGUAAGCCUCAAGAUCUGUCGGUUUGU